AAACUCUAGGAGCCCCUAUCCUACAACCCUGAUACUAGACCUUCACACUUUCCUAUCAAGGGUCAUGUCCUCGGAAACCCGCAUUCUAGUCAUGUCACGCCUAAUCACCUCUCCCCAAUACCUCUUAGGCCUCCCUCUGCCUCGCCGAACGCUGACAAUCGUCAGCCGCUCACAACUCCUCACCGGGGCAUCAGGACUUCUCCUCCGCACAUGGCCAAACCACCUCAGGCUCGCUUCUCGCAUCUUCUCAUCCACCGGGGCCACCCCCACCUUCUCUCGA
rnacentral:lncRNA from 1 species